rnacentral:rRNA from 1 species
UACAGAGGGUGCAAGCGUUGUUCGGAUUUAUUGGGCGUAAAGCGCACGUAGGCGGCUUAGCAAGUCGAAUGUGAAAUCCCUCGGCUCAACCAAGGAAGUGCAUCCGAAACUGCUGAGCUUGAGUACUUAAGAGGAUCGCGGAAUUCCCGGUGUAGAGGUGAAAUUCGUAGAUAUCGGGAGGAACACCGGUGACGAAGGCGGCUUUCUGGACAAAUACCGACGCUGAGGCACGAAAGCUAGGGGAGCAAACAGG